AUUGAACGCUGGCGGCAUGCCUUACACAUGCAAGUCGAACGGCAGCACGGGAGCUUGCUCCUGGUGGCGAGUGGCGAACGGGUGAGUAAUACAUCGGAACGUACCCAGUAGUGGGGGAUAACGCACCGAAAGGUGCGCUAAUACCGCAUACGACCUAAGGGUGAAAGCGGGGGACCGUAAGGCCUCGCGCUAUUGGAGCGGCCGAUGUCUGAUUAGCUAGUUGGCGGGGUAAUAGCCCACCAAGGCGACGAUCAGUAGCUGGUCUGAGAGGACGAUCAGCCACACUGGGACUGAGACACGGCCCAGACUCCUACGGGAGGCAGCAGUGGGGAAUUUUGGACAAUGGGGGCAACCCUGAUCCAGCAAUGCCGCGUGUGCGAAGAAGGCCUUCGGGUUGUAAAGCUCUUUUGUCAGGGAAGAAAUCUUUCAGGCUAAUACCCUUGGAAGGAUGACGGUACCUGAAGAAUAAGCACCGGCUAACUACGUGCCAGCCGCCGCAGUAA
rnacentral:rRNA from 1 species